rnacentral:rRNA from 1 species
GACGAACGCUGGCGGCGUGCUUAACACAUGCAAGUCGAACGGUGAAGCGCCUUCCUUUUUGGUGGGUGUGGAUGAGUGGCGAACGGGUGAGUAACACGUGAGUAAUCUGCCCCCUUCUUCUGGAUAACCGCAUGAAAGUGUGGCUAAUACGGGAUAUUCUGGGUCUGUCGCAUGAUGGGUCUGGGAAAGAUAUUGUUUCGGUGGGGGAUGGGCUCGCGGCCUAUCAGCUUGUUGGUGGGGUGAUGGCCUACCAAGGCGGUGACGGGUAGCCGGCCUGAGAGGGUGGACGGUCACACGGGGACUGAGACACGGCACAGACUCAUACGGGAGGCAGCAGUGGGGAAUAUUGCACAAUGGGCGCAAGCCUGAUGCAGCGACGCCGCGUGAGGGAUGGAGGCCUUCGGGUUGUGAACCUCUUUCGCCAGUGAAGCAGGCCUGCCUCGUUUGUGGGUGGGUUGACGGUAGCUGGAUAAGAAGCGCCGGCUAACUACGUG